rnacentral:rRNA from 2 species
UUUGUCAUAGUCAUAGCGUAGGAAAGACCACAGGGAUUGCCUUAGUAACGGCGAGUGAGCGGCAAAAGCUCAAAUUUGAAAUCUGGCACUUUCAGUGUCCGAGUUGUAAUUUGAAGAAGGUAACUUUGGAGUUGGCCCUUGUCUAUGUUCCUUGGAACAGGACGUCACAGAGGGUGAGAAUCCCGUGCGAUGAGGUGUCCAAUUCUAUGUAAAGUGCUUUCGAAGAGUCGAGUUGUUUGGGAAUGCAGCUCUAAGUGGGUGGUAAAUUCCAUCUAAAGCUAAAUAUUGGCGAGAGACCGAUAGCGAACAAGUACAGUGAUGGAAAGAUGAAAAGAACUUUGAAAAGAGAGUGAAAAAGUACGUGAAAUUGUUGAAAGGGAAGGGCUUGAGAUCAGACUCGGUAUUUUGCAAGCCUAUCCUUCGUGGAGAGGUUUAUUAGCAGCUUACCGGGCCAGCAUCGGUUUGGAUGGUAGGAUAAUGGCAUUGGAAUGUGGCUCUUCGGAGUGUUAUAGCCUUUGUUGAUACUGCCUAUCUAGACCGAGGACUGCGUCUUUGACUAGGAUGCUGGCGUAAUGAUCUUAAGCCGCCGUCUGAACACGACGACAA